ensembl:lncRNA
CCCGAUGCCAUGGUAUUGGGACAUAAAAAAAUCUGUUCCCAAAUAUCUAGAAUUAUAUGCGGUGUAGUUAUCAAACCUCUCGACCUUAAGUGAAACUGAUACUUUUUACUAUUUAUACUAGUCAUUUUAAGCCAUGCAUGGUUUUUCAUUGGUGGCAGACAAACCAAUUCAUUGCUUUAUAUUUUGAGAAAUUGCCUCUUUCAUUUUCGUGGCCGAGCUGCGAUGAGUUCGUUAUACUCCAUACACCUUUGUUAUAUGCUUGUGUGACAUACUUUUAGUGUCCUUAUUUACAAUGUCAAUGUCUUCCCUUAUACAUUUUUUCCAAGAAAAUGUGUAUUUCCUUUAUCAAUACAUUGGAGUUUAGCCUUAUCAUUUGUGAAUAAAAAUAAUAUUAUUAUUCUAUUAAAGACACUUUUGUGAGGGUCCCCUACCAGAAAUGUACAUGCUAAAAACGUAUGAAUAUACAUUCAUUUCACAAUAACAAAAUGUAUUGUAACACAAAUCGAAUUGUAACAUAAAAAAUGAUUUCAUAAACACCUUAAAAGGUUGUUUGGAGUGCCUUUGUAGUUCCAAAACACAUUACAAAUGCAUAGGAAACAGGUAAUCAAGUAAUUUCACAUGAGAUGGAACAUGUUAGAAUUGCAAACAGAAUGUGUUUAUUUUGUGUAAGAUUCCAGUGGGUAACUGGUGCUUUAGGUGGUAAUAUUUCCAGUACGGUAACUGGUGCUUUAGGCUGUGAUAUUUCCAGUCGGUUAACUGGUGCUUUAGGUGGUGAUAUUUCCAGUACGGUAACUGGUGCUUUAGGUGGUAAUAUUUCCAGUACGGUAACUGGUGCUUUAGGCUGUGAUAUUUCCAGUCGGUUAACUGGUGCUUUAGGUGGUGAUAUUUCCAGUACGGUAACUGUUGCUUUAGGUGGUGAUAUUUCCAGUAGGGUAACUGGUGCUUUAGGUGGUGAUAUUUCCAGUAUUGUAACUGGUGCUUUAGGUGGUGGUAUUUCCAGUAGGUAACUGAUGCUUUAGGUGGUGGUAUUUCCAGUAGGGGUAACUGGUGCUUUAGGUGGUGAUAUUUCCAGUAGGGUAACUGGUGCUUUAGGUGGUGAUAUUUCUGUGUUUCCUUGGCUGUUCAUCCAAUGACAUCUUCUUGAUCCCGAUUACAUCAUUCUACCUAAUAGUUUUUUUUAUUCACCCAAAUUCUGAUGAACUUGCAU